GAGAGCAAACAGCUCUUUUAGAAUUUUUCUCCCAGGGUUUUCUGAUUUUGGUCAGAAAGCCCAA